CAUUUGAGUGAGUGGCGAACUGGUGAGUAACACGUGGGAAACCUGCCCAGAAGCGGGGGAUAACACCUGGAAACAGAUGCUAAUACCGCAUAACAACUUGGACCGCAUGGUCCGAGUUUGAAAGAUGGCUUCGGCUAUCACUUUUGGAUGGUCCCGCGGCGUAUUAGCUAGAUGGUGRGGUAACGGCUCACCAUGGCAAUGAUACGUAGCCGACCUGAGAGGGUAAUCGGCCACAUUGGGACUGAGACACGGCCCAAACUCCUACGGGAGGCAGCAGUAGGGAAUCUUCCACAAUGGACGAAAGUCUGAUGGAGCAACGCCGCGUGAGUGAAGAAGGGUUUCGGCUCGUAAAACUCUGUUGUUAAAGAAGAACAUAUCUGAGAGUAACUGUUCAGGUAUUGACGGUAUUUAACCAGAAAGCCACGGCUAACUACGUGCCAGCAGCCGCGGUAAUACGUAGGUGGCAAGCGUUGUCCGGAUUUAUUGGGCGUAAAGCGAGCGCAGGCGGUUUUUUAAGUCUGAUGUGAAAGCCUUCGGCUCAACCGAAGAAGUGCAUCGGAAACUGGGAAACUUGAGUGCAGAAGAGGACAGUGGAACUCCAUGUGUAGCGGUGAAAUGCGUAGAUAUAUGGAAGAACACCAGUGGCGAAGGCGGCUGUCUGGUCUGUAACUGACGCUGAGGCUCGAAAGUAUGGGUAGCAAACAGGAUUAGAUACCCUGGUAGUCCAUACCGUAAACGAUGAAUGCUAAGUGUUGGAGGGUUUCCGCCCUUCAGUGCUGCAGCUAACGCAUUAAGCAUUCCGCCUGGGGAGUACGGCCGCAAGGCUGAAACUCAAAGGAAUUGACGGGGGCCCGCACAAGCGGUGGAGCAUGUGGUUUAAUUCGAAGCUACGCGAAGAACCUUACCAGGUCUUGACAUACUAUGCAAAUCUAAGAGAUUAGACGUUCCCUUCGGGGACAUGGAUACAGGUGGUGCAUGGUUGUCGUCAGCUCGUGUCGUGAGAUGUUGGGUUAAGUCCCGCAACGAGCGCAACCCUUAUUAUCAGUUGCCAGCAUUAAGUUGGGCACUCUGGUGAGACUGCCGGUGACAAACCGGAGGAAGGUGGGGAUGACGUCAAAUCAUCAUGCCCCUUAUGACCUGGGCUACACACGUGCUACAAUGGAUGGUACAACGAGUUGCGAACUCGCGAGAGUAAGCUAAUCUCUUAAAGCCAUUCUCAGUUCGGAUUGUAGGCUGCAACUCGCCUACAUGAAGUCGGAAUCGCUAGUAAUCGCGGAUCAGCAUGCCGCGGUGAAUACGUUCCCGGGCCUUGUACACACCGCCCGUCACACCAUGAGAGUUUGUAA
rnacentral:rRNA from 2 species